AGUGGCGGACGGGUGAGUAACGCGUAAGAAUCUAACUUCAGGACGGGGACAACAGUUGGAAACGACUGCUAAUACCCGAUGUGCCGCAAGGUGAAACCUAAUUGGCCUGGAGAAGAGCUUGCGUCUGAUUAGCUAGUUGGUGGGGUAAAGGCCUACCAAGGCGACGAUCAGUAGCUGGUCUGAGAGGAUGAGCAGCCACACUGGGACUGAGACACGGCCCAGACUCCUACGGGAGGCAGCAGUGGGGAAUUUUCCGCAAUGGGCGAAAGCCUGACGGAGCAACGCCGCGUGAGGGAGGAAGGUCUUUGGAUUGUAAACCUCUUUUCUCAAGGAAGAAGUUCUGACGGUACUUGAGGAAUCAGCCUCGGCUAACUCCGUGCCAGCAGCCGCGGUAAUACGGGGGAGGCAAGCGUUAUCCGGAAUUAUUGGGCGUAAAGCGCCCGCAGGUGGUCAGCCAAGUCUGCCGUCAAAUCAGGUUGCUUAACGACCUAAAGGCGGUGGAAACUGGCAGACUAGAGAGCAGUAGGGGUAGCAGGAAUUCCCAGUGUAGCGGUGAAAUGCGUAGAGAUUGGGAAGAACAUCGGUGGCGAAAGCGUGCUACUGGGCUGUAUCUGACACUCAGGGACGAAAGCUAGGGGAGCGAAAGGGAUUAGAUACCCCUGUAGUCCUAGCCGUAAACGAUGGAUACUAGGCGUGGCUU
rnacentral:rRNA from 1 species